rnacentral:misc_RNA from 1 species
UUUAGGAUGGGCAACUGGUUUGAAG